UACGUAGGGGGCAAGCGUUGUCCGGAUUUAUUGGGCGUAAAGCGCUCGCAGGUGGUUCGUCGCGUCGUGCGUGAAAGACCCCGGCUCAACUGGGGAGUGUCGUGCGAUACGGGCGGACUGGAGGCCAGUAGGGGGAUGCGGAAUUCCGGGUGUAGUGGUGGAAUGCGUAGAGAUCCGGAGGAACACCAGCGGCGAAGGCGACUUACUGGACACAUAUUGACGCUGAGGUGCGAAAGCGUGGGGAGCAAACAGGG
rnacentral:rRNA from 1 species